UGGGGAAUAUUGGACAAUGGGGGCAACCCUGAUCCAGCGAUGCCGCGUGAGUGAAGAAGGCCCUCGGGUCGUAAAGCUCUUUAGGUUGGGAAGAAGGUCAUGAGGUGCAUAGCCUUGUGAUUUGACGGUACCGACAGAAUAAGCACCGGCAAACUCUGUGCCAGCAGCCGCGGUAAUACAGAGGGUGCGAGCGUUAAUCGGAGUUACUGGGUGUAAAGGGCGCGUAGGCGGCAUGAUGUGUGUGAUGUGAAAGCCCCGGGCUUAACCUGGGAAGUGCAUUGCAAACUGUUGAGCUAGAGUAUGUGAGAGGGUGGCGGAAUUUCCGGUGUAGCGGUGAAAUGCGUAGAGAUCGGAAGGAACGUCAAUGGCGAAGGCAGCCACCUGGCACAAUACUGACGCU
rnacentral:rRNA from 1 species